rnacentral:misc_RNA from 1 species
UGAAUGCGUGCAGUGCGGUAU